rnacentral:rRNA from 2 species
UGGGGAAUAUUGCACAAUGGAGGGAACUCUGAUGCAGCGACGCCGCGUGAACGAAGAAGGCUUUCGAGUCGUAAAGUUCUUUUAUAUGGGAAGAUAAUGACGGUACCAUAAGAAAAAGCCCCGGCUAACUACGUGCCAGCAGCCGCGGUAAUACGUAGGGGGCUAGCGUUGUCCGGAAUCACUGGGCGUAAAGGGUUCGCAGGCGGAAAUGCAAGUCAGGUGUAAAAGGCAGUAGCUUAACUACUGUAAGCAUUUGAAACUGCAUAUCUUGAGAAGAGUAGUGGUAAGUGGAAUUUUUAGUGUAGCGGUGAAAUGCGUAGAUAUUAAAAAGAAUACCGGUGGCGAAGGCGACUUACUGGGCUCAUUCUGACGCUGAGGAACGAAAGCGUGGGUAGCAAACAGG